UCACUUCUCUACGCCCAUUUGAAUUCACGAGAAACAACUUCUCGUGAAUUUUUUCCCACGCAGAAGGCAUCCCAUGCCCAUCCUUGUGCGCUAAUUAUCUAGAUAAAAAUAAGUCAGUUGGCCACUCAAAUUCAAAGGAUGUUUGAAUUUGAAUAGGCAACCUCACUUCUCUGCGCCACCUCACUUCUCUGCGCCCAUUUGAAUUCACGAGAAACAGCUUCUCAUGAAUUUUCUCCCACGCAGAAGGCAUCCCAUGCCCAACCUUUUGCACUAAUUAUCUGGAUAAAAAUAAGUUAGUUGGCCAUUCAAAUUCAAAGGAUGUUUGAAUUUGAAUGGGCAACCAACUAAUCCAUGCACCACCCACCUUAUCUUGUGCGCCCCUUGCUUUACACGAGAAAGAAUUUCUCGUGUAAACUCUCCACGCACAAGAGAGCCCACACCCUUCUCUUCUCACGCGUAGAGUGGAUAGAAAUGAGUUGGUUGGCAUUUGAAUUCAAAUUCGAUUUGAAUUCAAAUGAGCAACUACUUAUCUUUAUCCUCUCACGCGGUAAAAAUGUUGCAAAGACGCGAUCUUGCAUUGUUUUAAAAAAGAGAUAAGAUUGGGCAUGCGUAGAAGACAUCUGAGAAAAAAGGGUGGCGUGAGAGAGCUUUCUUGCGUGAGAAAAGAAAAAAAAAGGAGAGAAAAGAAAGAAACAAGUGGGCGCAAGUUUCUUCGGUGAGUACCCUAGGGUUUUGGCCUAGGGUUCAGGAAGUGAGAACGUGAGCUACGAUUGUU
rnacentral:lncRNA from 1 species